UGGGGAAUAUUGCGCAAUGGGCGAAAGCCUGACGCAGCGACACCGCGUGCGGGAUGAAGGCCUUCGGGUUGUAAACCGCUUUCGGCAGGGAAGAAGCGAAGGUGACGGUACCUGCAGAAGAAGCUCCGGCUAACUACGUGCCAGCAGCCGCGGUAAGACGUAGGGAGCGAGCGUUGUCCGGAUUCAUUGGGCGUAAAGCGCGCGUAGGCGGCUUUGCAAGUCGGUUGUGAAACCAGAGGCUCAACCUCUGGCCUGCAUCCGAAACUGCAUCGCUUGAGGUAGGUAGGGGAGAUCGGAAUUCCUGGUGUAGCGGUGGAAUGCGCAGAUAUCAGGAGGAACACCGGGUGGCGAAGGCGGAUCUCUGGGCCUUACCUGACGCUGAGGUGCGAAAGCUAGGGGAGCGAACAGGAUUAGAUACCCUGGUAGUCCUAGCCGUAAACGUUGGACACGUAGGUGUGGGCGGCUAUCAACCCCGUCCGUAGCCGAAGCUAACGCUAAG
rnacentral:rRNA from 1 species